UUGGCCUCGAAUCAGGUAGGGAUACCCGCUGAACUUAAGCAUAUCAAUAAGCGGAGGAAAAGAAACCAACAGGGAUUGCCUUAGUAACUGCGAGUGAAGCGGCAAGAGCUCAAAUUUGAAAUCUGGCGCCUUUGGCGUCCGAGUUGUAAUUUGGAGAGGCAUCUUCGGGUGCGGCGCCGGCCUAAGUUCCUUGGAACAGGACGUCAUAGAGGGUGAGAAUCCCGUUCUCGGCUGGCUGUCCGCAUCCAUGUGAAGUGUCUUCGACGAGUCGAGUUGUUUGGGAAUGCAGCUCAAAAUGGGUGGUAAACUCCAUCUAAAGCUAAAUACUGGCGAGAGACCGAUAGCGCACAAGUAGAGUGAUCGAAAGAUGAAAAGCACUUUGAAAAGAGAGUUAAAAAGUACGUGAAAUUGUUGAAAGGGAAGCGCUUGAGACCAGACUCGGCGGGAGGUAUUCAUCGUCCCUUCUGGGGCGUGCACUUGCCUCUCGUCGGGCCAGCAUCGGUUGCGGCGGCGGGAUAAAGACCCGGGGAAUGUGGCUGCUCUCGGGCAGUGUUAUAGCCCCGGGUGCCAUGCCGCCUGCUGCGACCGAGGACCGCGCUUCGGCUAGGAUGC
rnacentral:rRNA from 1 species